rnacentral:rRNA from 1 species
GGGGGGGGGCUAUACAUGCAAGUCGAACGCUUCUUUUUCCACCGGAGCUUGCUCCACCGGAAAAAGAGGAGUGGCGAACGGGUGAGUAACACGUGGGUAACCUGCCCAUCAGAAGGGGAUAACACUUGGAAACAGGUGCUAAUACCGUAUAACAAUCGAAACCGCAUGGUUUUGAUUUGAAAGGCGCUUUCGGGUGUCGCUGAUGGAUGGACCCGCGGUGCAUUAGCUAGUUGGUGAGGUAACGGCUCACCAAGGCCACGAUGCAUAGCCGACCUGAGAGGGUGAUCGGCCACAUUGGGACUGAGACACGGCCCAAACUCCUACGGGAGGCAGCAGUAGGGAAUCUUCGGCAAUGGACGAAAGUCUGACCGAGCAACGCCGCGUGAGUGAAGAAGGUUUUCGGAUCGUAAAACUCUGUUGUUAGAGAAGAACAAGGAUGAGAGUAACUGUUCAUCCCUUGACGGUAUCUAACCAGAAAGCCACGGCUAACUACGUGCCAGCAGCCGCGGUAAUACGUAGGUGGCAAGCGUUGUCCGGAUUUAUUGGGCGUAAAGCGAGCGCAGGCGGUUUCUUAAGUCUGAUGUGAAAGCCCCCGGCUCAACCGGGGAGGGUCAUUGGAAACUGGGAGACUUGAGUGCAGAAGAGGAGAGUGGAAUUCCAUGUGUAGCGGUGAAAUGCGUAGAUAUAUGGAGGAACACCAGUGGCGAAGGCGGCUCUCUGGUCUGUAACUGACGCUGAGGCUCGAAAGCGUGGGGAGCAAACAGGAUUAGAUACCCUGGUAGUCCACGCCGUAAACGAUGAGUGCUAAGUGUUGGAGGGUUUCCGCCCUUCAGUGCUGCAGCUAACGCAUUAAGCACUCCGCCUGGGGAGUACGACCGCAAGGUUGAAACUCAAAGGAAUUGACGGGGGCCCGCACAAGCGGUGGAGCAUGUGGUUUAAUUCGAAGCAACGCGAAGAACCUUACCAGGUCUUGACAUCCUUUGACCACUCUAGAGAUAGAGCUUCCCCUUCGGGGGCAAAGUGACAGGUGGUGCAUGGUUGUCGUCAGCUCGUGCCGUGAGAUGUUGGGUUAAGUCCCGCAACGAGCGCAACCCUUAUUGUUAGUUGCCAUCAUUCAGUUGGGCACUCUAGCAAGACUGCCGGGGACAAACCGGAGGAAGGUGGGGAUGACGCCAAAUCAUCAUGCCCCUUAAGACCUGGGCUACCACCGGGCACCAAGGGGAA